UACGUAGGGGGCAAGCGUUGUCCGGAAUUAUUGGGCGUAAAGAGCGUGUAGGCGGUCCGGUAAGUCGGCUGUGAAAGUCCAGGGCUCAACCCUGGGAUGCCGGUCGAUACUGCCGGACUAGAGUUCGGAAGAGGCGAGUGGAAUUCCCGGUGGAGCGGUGAAAUGCGUAGAGAUCGGGAAGAACGCCGGCGGCGAAAGCGACUCUCUGGUCGGAUCCUGACGCUGAGGUGCGAAAGCUAGGGGAGCAAACGGG
rnacentral:rRNA from 1 species